GUAGGGGAAUCUUCCGCAAUGGACGAAAGUCUGACGGAGCAACGCCGCGUGAGUGAUGAAGGUUUUCGGAUCGUAAAGCUCUGUUGUUAGGGAAGAACAAGUACCGUUCGAAUAGGGCGGUACCUUGACGGUACCUAACCAGAAAGCCACGGCUAACUACGUGCCAGCAGCCGCGGUAAUACGUAGGUGGCAAGCGUUGUCCGGAAUUAUUGGGCGUAAAGGGCUCGCAGGCGGUUUCUUAAGUCUGAUGUGAAAGCCCCCGGCUCAACCGGGGAGGGUCAUUGGAAACUGGGGAACUUGAGUGCAGAAGAGGAGAGUGGAAUUCCACGUGUAGCGGUGAAAUGCGUAGAGAUGUGGAGGAACACCAGUGGCGAAGGCGACUCUCUGGUCUGUAACUGACGCUGAGGAGCGAAAGCGUGGGGAGCGAACAGGAU
rnacentral:rRNA from 1 species